rnacentral:rRNA from 1 species
CCUACGGGAGACAGCAGUGGGGAAUAUUGCACAAUGGGGGAAACCCUGAUGCAGCGACGCCGCGUGAGUGAAGAAGCGUUUCGGCGCGUAAAGCUCUGUCAGCGGGGAAGAAACACGGUUCGCGAGAGCCGCGGACGGUACCCGACCAAGAAGCCCCGGCUAACUACGUGCCAGCAGCCGCGGUAAUACGUAGGGGGCAAGCGUUAUCCGGAUUCACUGGGUGUAAAGGGAGCGUAGACGGCGAGGCAAGUCUGGAGUGAAAUGCCGGGGCCCAACCCCGGGACUGCCCUGGAAACUGGCUGGCUUGAGUAGAGGAGAGGUAAGUGGAAUUCCUAGUGUAGCGGUGAAAUGCGUAGAUAUUAGGAGGAACACCAGUUGCGAAGGCGGCUUACUGGACUGUAACUGACGUUGAGGCUCGAAAGCGUGGGGAGCAAACAGGAUUAGAUACCCUAGUAGUC